AGUGAACGCUGGCGGCAGGCCUAACACAUGCAAGUCGAGCGGCAGCGCGUCCGACCACCCUCGGGUGGUCGGAUGGCGGCGAGCGGCGGACGGGUGAGGAAUGCAUCGGAAUCUGCCUCGUUGUGGGGGAUAACGUAGGGAAACUUACGCUAAUACCGCAUACGACCUACGGGGUGAAAGUGGGGGACCUUCGGGCCUCACGCGAUGAGAUGAGCCGAUGCCGGAUUAGCUAGUUGGCGGGGUAAAGGCCCACCAAGGCGACGAUCCGUAGCUGGUCUGAGAGGAUGAUCAGCCACACUGGAACUGAGACACGGUCCAGACUCCUACGGGAGGCAGCAGUAGGGAAUAUUGGACAAUGGGGGCAACCCUGAUCCAGCCAUGCCGCGUGAGUGAAGAAGGCCCUCGGGUUGUAAAGCUCUUUUGUCCGGAAAGAAAAGCAAUCGGUUAAUACCCGGUUGUUCUGACGGUACCGGAAGAAUAAGCACCGGCUAACUUCGUGCCAGCAGCCG
rnacentral:rRNA from 1 species